UCGGGUAUGUACUGGUGUUACUGAUUCCUCCCUUCUGACGAACUAUCAUGCCAUUUACUUGGUGUGGUGGGAAAUCAGAACUGUUACUUUGAAAAAAUUAGAGUGUUUAAAGCAGGCUCACGCUUGAAUACAUUAGCAUGGAAUAAUGAAAUAGGACGUUGAUCUUAUUUUGUUGGUUUCUAGGAUUGACGUAAUGAUUAAUAGGGAUAGUUGGGGGCAUUAGUAUUCAAUUGUCAGAGGUGAAAUUCUUGGAUUUAUUGAAGACUAACUACUGCGAAAGCAUUUGCCAAGGAUGUUUUCAUUAAUCAAGAACGAAAGUUAGGGGAUCGAAGACGAUCAGAUACCGUCGUAGUCUUAACCAUAAACUAUGCCGACUAGGGAUCGGAUGAUGUUAAUUUUUUUAAUGACUCAUUCGGCGCCUUACG
rnacentral:rRNA from 1 species